CGUCAAUGUGAGUUGGCUGGAGACAUCGCUUCGCUGAAUAGCGAGCUCGGAGCCAGUACCACUACCAGGAACGUAUACUGAAUCGUGAGAUACAUCCUCCACGACAACACCAGCAGCGUUGCCGUCUUCAUAACGAAUAUGGUGAUGGUCGAUAGAGUCAGCAGCAGCACCGUCUUCGUCAUCGGCGGCGGGGGCAGCGAUCUGAUGAUGAACGUUCAUAGGCUGGGAAUGACCGUACAUUGGCGAGUCUGAGGUCAAAACUGAGGAUUAAGAAGCAUUACAGAGAGGGAAAAGAAGAGAAGAGAAGUGAAUUUGGGGGAAUUGCAUAAGACCCUAACCCUAAUCGAGUGAGAGAGAGUAAAAGAGUGAAAAGCGAAAAACGGGAGAGAGAAGAAGGGUGGAACGAGGAAGAGCCGAAGAGGUGAGACCUGAGGUUUGCAAAA
rnacentral:misc_RNA from 1 species